GUGCAUGUUACGAACUCAUUACUGUCGUACGUUAUGUUGUAUAUUGAUAAGGGGUGGACACUGCAAAAACUACUAUUAUGCUGUUGAUUAGCAAUUAUUACUCAGGGUGCUAUAAUUCUCGUACUUACAUCUGUUUUCAGUCACGUACAACGUUGGUCCACGUAGGUACACGGAACUCUUACUAUCUGCGUAUUUAUUUUCGUUGUACCAUACGAGCUUUCCAAGACCAGGUUUUUCAAAAUAGUAAUUUGGUCGGUAAAUUACUUUAUAAAGUCCGACAUGACUAGAAUGAAAAAUUAUUAGACUGAUGCAACUAAGGAAUGUUGGGGUGGAUUCUAGUGAUUGUAUAGACAAUUAUACUUUCACGUUACUGAAUUAAUAUCUUUCAGAAAGUUGUACUUUAUGUACUUCAUUUUAAAGACUAAGUACGCCUUGAGUCUUAAGUUUGCUAGUUUGUACCAGCUCAAGUACGUGGCAAUAAUCAUUGGAGUACCAGUCAGGUACGACUAAAAAUCUUCAAUUAUCGCACCCUGUAAUUACUUGUAAUACAGUUGGUUUUAACUUAAAAAUAUUACAUUAGUAUAUCAUUAAUAUAUAUACAAAUAACUCGUUUUCAUCCAAGGUAUGUUCAGAUGAAAAUUUAACAAUUAUUCGCCGAAGGCGAUGUGAUUAUCGUGGAAUAUUCACCGAGACGAAUUUGAGGCGAGUAUGUGCCGAUAUUUACCCACAGGCGGCCCAAUCUCAGAAUGAAUGAUCAGGUGUUGCGGGUUUUUAACGGUUUUUAUAAACAAAUUUAUAGUCAACCAAAACUAUUUAAAAAACAUUC